UACGAAGGGGGCUAGCGUUGCUCGGAAUCACUGGGCGUAAAGGGUGCGUAGGCGGGUCUUUAAGUCCGGGGUGAAAUCCUGGAGCUCAACUCCAGAACUGCCUUUGAUACUGAAGAUCUUGAGUUCGGGAGAGGUGAGUGGAACUGCGAGUGUAGAGGUGAAAUUCGUAGAUAUCUGGAGGAACACCGGUGGCGAAGGCGGCAUCCUGGACCGACACUGACGCUGAGGAGCGAAAGCCAGGGGAGCAAACGGG
rnacentral:rRNA from 1 species